AUGCUGCCAUACUCCUGCCUUGAUGAUAAUGGACUGAACCUCUGACUCUUUUCGUGGUUACCACCUUCUGGAUCCGUGAGCCCUUAGUCCUGAACCAGGCGUUAGUACUUCUCAGCCUACGAGUGGGAACAAAGAGCAGAGGGCACACCUGUCCUGAAGCGGCAAACCAUCCUGCUCCCAGCUGCAAGUCUGGGGCAUUGUUCUUCAUCUCCUGAGGCUGUAGCUUUGUGCCAUGGACGCUCACGCCACAGGAAUAAUUGCUGAGCUUCGAGUCACUUCCUCCGUGUUGUAAAGAGCUUCAAUCACCUGAAGCCUGCCAGGGAGACGAAGGUUCUAUCAAGUCUGCUCUCGGUAGUCUAUUACCCAGUCUAAAUUUCUAGACGGAAGCCUCUCUGUGUGAAUAAUGCACACCCAGUGCCAGACAUGCAUUUCAUCCAAGUCUUCUUUGGAGAUGAUGGCAUUUUUAUUUGAAUUGAGCCACGCUUAGGAAAUCACCGUGGGGAUCUGGACAUCCGAUAAAAGCUUUUAGAUGAUGGUACCAAUUUUCAAUAAACAACAUCAUAAAAAUUUCAGGA